rnacentral:rRNA from 1 species
ACGCUCGACACCUACGGGGGGCAGCAGUAGGGAAUCUUCCACAAUGGACGCAAGUCUGAUGGAGCAACGCCGCGUGAGUGAAGAAGGUCUUCGGAUCGUAAAACUCUGUUGUUAGAGAAGAACACGAGUGAGAGUAACUGUUCAUUCGAUGACGGUAUCUAACCAGCAAGUCACGGCUAACUACGUGUCAGCAGCCGCGGUAAUCUGAGCGGGCUGGCAAGGC